rnacentral:rRNA from 1 species
CCUACGGGAGGCAGCAGUGAGGAAUAUUGGUCAAUGGGCGGAAGCCUGAACCAGCCAAGUAGCGUGCAGGAUGACGGACCUACGGGUUGUAAACUGCUUUUAUACGGGAAUAACGCGCCUUACGUGUAGGGCUUUGCAUGUACCGUAUGAAUAAGGACCGGCUAAUUCCGUGCCAGCAGCCGCGGUAAUACGGAAGGUCCGGGCGUUAUCCGGAUUUAUUGGGGUUAAAGGGAGCGUAGGCCGCAUGUCAAGCGUGCUGUGAAAUGUCCGGGCUCAACCCGGGCCUUGCAGCGCGAACUGGCGGCCUUGAGUCCGCGGAAGGCAGGCGGAAUUCGUGGUGUAGCGGUGAAAUGCUUAGAUAUGACGAAGAACCCCGAUUGCGAAGGCAGCUUGCUGCAGCGGAACUGACGCUGAUGCUCGAAAGCGCGGGUAUCGAACAGGAUUAGAUACCCCUGUAGUC